UUCUCCAUUUUGUUUUGUUUUGGCGUAUCUUCCUGUUCUUGUUUUGUUUUUCUUCUGCUUUUUUCCAUUUCUUCCCUUGUCUCCCGUCGGACGAAGGCGAAAUUCCCGCUGCCGCCCCCGUGCCGGUCCCGGCGGAGGCGGAGGGCAGCGGGCAGGAGGCAGCGGAGCGGUGCGGAGCUCGCAGCCCCCAGCCCCACUCCGGGCACUGCCCCCCCUUUCCCGGGAUGCAGAGCCCUCCAGGAACUGGAAAAUCCAGAUUUGCAGCAUCUCCCAGGGAAAGACGAUUUCCUACGUGCCCCCCCAGCGCGAGGGUCCUGCUGAAGGUUAAACUCGUGAGUGCCUUUGGUUUUGCACCAAGUUAAUCUCCCCACAAAAUAAAAGACUGGGGGAACGCUGGUGAAAACUGCACUGAUGUUGCUGGCUGGUCCCCGGCUCGCUCCCAUCCCUCUUACAGAGCCAGAUGUGGAUUUCACCACUUCUGCCAGCGCUGAAUGCUCAUCCCCACACCGUGCCCUGGCCUGCUUCAGCCUCCCUGCCUGAAAACAGGGUAAACCCAUCCGCUUCCCCGGGGUACAUUACGGUGGCUUAAAAUUACCACUCACAGAUGUAUUUCCAAAUCCCCUCAUGAAAGCCACGAGAAGCACUGGGUGUUAGCAGAAUAGAUCCUUCACCUCUUAACAGCUGUUAAUUGCCAUUAAAACCAAACCUGCACAGCUUUA